rnacentral:rRNA from 1 species
UACAGCGGUCUCAAGCGUUGUUCGGAUUCAUUGGGCGUAAAGGGUGUGUAGGUGGCGCGCUAAGUCGGGUGUGAAAUUUCGGAGCUUAACUCCGAAACUGCAUUCGAUACUGGCGUGCUUGAGGACUGGAGAGGAGACUGGAAUUCAUGGUGUAGCAGUGAAAUGCGUAGAGAUCAUGAGGAAGACCAGUGGCGAAGGCGGGUCUCUGGACAGUUCCUGACACUGAGACACGAAGGCCAGGGGAGCAAACGGG